CCCUAGCUGCCUCCUCAUUCUAUCCUAUCGCUCUUCCCCAUCCUCCUCUCAAUAAGUCCUCUCAGGUCUAUAAAGCACCUUGAUGCUGUCACCUUCACCAGCUGCACUCCUCUUUCCUCAGCUCCUCAGGUGGAAGUUUCAAAGCCAAAAACUCAAACAAGGGAGUUCUGCCCCACUUCAAGAUGGCCCAUUGAGUAAAUCUCCUUGGUCAUCCUAUUUCAGAAUCUUUCAGAAAGUCACUGGUGAAGUUUAACCUAGAUUUCUCCUGGCACGAGCUAAAACCUUGCUUCUCUCCUGAUGUGCCCAUGUCUUGCCCUCUCAGUCUCCUCAAGGAUCUGUUUUAACCUGCCCUGCCCUGCAUGUCUCAUCCUGCCCUUGAAGAAAGCCUGAGAUGUUUUCAUCACUGGGGAGUUAGACUCCAAGUAGCACUUACAGAUAGUCACCACAAUUCUAAAAAGCAGUAUCAAUGAAGUAAGAAGACUAGACAUUUCAAAAGGAAAAAAAAUCUUCCACCUCUUUGUUGGUAGAUCAGAAUCUUUUUUGCUAUCUGGAAUCUUUCCUGAAAAUGAACAUCCAUCUUUUCAACUGCAAUUCAAGCAGAUCUCCGUUCUAUUUAGAUUUG